rnacentral:rRNA from 1 species
CCUACGGGUGGCAGCAGUGAGGAAUAUUGGUCAAUGGUCGGGAGACUGAACCAGCCAAGCCGCGUGAGGGAUGAAGGUACAGAGUAUCGUAAACCUCUUUUGUCAGGGAACAAAGGCGGGGACGUGUCCCCGGAUGAGUGUACCUGAAGAAAAAGCAUCGGCUAACUCCGUGCCAGCAGCCGCGGUAAUACGGAGGAUUCGAGCGUUAUCCGGAUUUAUUGGGUUUAAAGGGUGCGCAGGCGGUUGUUUAAGUCAGCGGUAAAAGCCCGGGGCUCAACCCCGGCCCGCCGUUGAAACUGGCAGUCUCGAGUUGGAGUGAAGUAUGCGGAAUGCGCGGUGUAGCGGUGAAAUGCAUAGAUAUCGCGCAGAACUCCGAUUGCGAAGGCAGCAUGCCGGCUCCACACUGACGCUGAGGCACGAAAGCGUGGGUAUCGAACAGGAUUAGAUACCCUAGUAGUC